UCAGAUACUCGUGGUGGUGACGACUCGUGGGUACUACUCGUCUCUAUAUCAUCAAAUUUAUAGUACGAGAAGUACCCACAAGACGCAUCAUCAAGUAA
rnacentral:pre_miRNA from 1 species